AGGCGGGCACCCAUUUGCAGUCGAGGGGUAACAUAGAAAAGCUUGCUUUUCUGAUGACGACCGGCGCACGGGUGCGUAACGCGUAUACAACCUACCUUUUAGCGGGGAAUAGCCCAGGGAAACUUGGAUUAAUGCCCCAUAGUAUAUAGACUUCUCCUGAAGUUUAUAUUAAACAUUUAUGGCUAUUAGAUGGGUAUGCGUCCUAUUAGUUAGUUGGUAAGGUAACGGCUUACCAAGGCAGCGAUAGGUAGGGGUCCUGAGAGGGAGAUCCCCCCACACUGGUACUGAGACACGGACCAGACUCCUACGGGAGGCAGCAGUGAGGAAUAUUGGACAAUGGGCGAGAGCCUGAUCCAGCCAUGCCGCGUGCAGGAAGACUGCCCUAUGGGUUGUAAACUGCUUUUACAGAGGAAGAACCACCCCUACGUGUGGGGGUUUGACGGUACUCUGCGAAUAAGGAUCGGCUAACUCCGUGCCAGCAGCCGCGGUAAUACGGAGGAUCCAAGCGUUAUCCGGAAUCAUUGGGUUUAAAGGGUCCGUAGGCGGGCAGUUAAGUCAGUGGUGAAAGUCUUCCGCUUAACGGGAGAACUGCCAUUGAUACUGAUUGUCUUGAGUUAUUAUGAAGUGGUUAGAAUGAGUAGUGUAGCGGUGAAAUGCAUAGAUAUUACUCAGAAUACCGAUUGCGAAGGCAGAUCACUAAUAAUAUACUGACGCUGAUGGACGAAAGCGUAGGUAGCGAACAGGAUUAGAUACCCUGGUAGUCUACGCCGUAAACGAUGGUUACUAGCUGUUCGGCCCAAUUGAGGGCUGAGUGGUUAAGCGAAAGUGAUAAGUAACCCACCUGGGGAGUACGUUCGCAAGAAUGAAACUCAAAGGAAUUGACGGGGGCCCGCACAAGCGGUGGAGCAUGUGGUUUAAUUCGAUGAUACGCGAGGAACCUUACCAGGGCUUAAAUGUAGUCUGACAGGUCUGGAAACAGACUUUUCUUCGGACAGAUUACAAGGUGCUGCAUGGUUGUCGUCAGCUCGUGCCGUGAGGUGUCAGGUUAAGUCCUAUAACGAGCGCAACCCCUGUGGUUAGUUGCCAGCGAGUAAUGUCGGGAACUCUAGCCAGACUGCCGGUGCAAACCGCGAGGAAGGUGGGGAUGACGUCAAAUCAUCACGGCCCUUACGUCCUGGGCCACACACGUGCUACAAUGGUAGGGACAGAGAGCAGCCACUUCGCGAGAAGGAGCGAAUCUACAAACCCUAUCACAGUUCGGAUCGCAGUCUGCAACUCGACUGCGUGAAGCUGGAAUCGCUAGUAAUCGCAUAUCAGCCAUGAUGCGGUGAAUACGUUCCCGGGCCUUGUACACACCGCCCGUCAAGCCAUGGAAGCCGGGGGUACCUGAAGUCGGUCACCGCAAGAGCCGCCUAGGUAAAC
rnacentral:rRNA from 1 species